GACGAACCGUGCGAACGUUGUUCGGAAUCAUUGGGCUUAAAGGGCGCGUAGGCGGGCUACCAAGUCUGUGGUGAAAUCCUCCAGCUCAACUGGAGAACGGCCGUGGAUACUGGGAGCCUCGAGGGAGAUAGGGGCAGGCGGAACUGAUGGUGGAGCGGUGAAAUGCGUUGAUAUCAUCAGGAACUCCGGUGGCGAAGGCGGCCUGCUGGAUCUCAUCUGACGCUGAGGCGCGAAAGCCAGGGGAGCAAACGGG
rnacentral:rRNA from 1 species